rnacentral:tRNA from 1 species
GGCGAGAUAGCUCAGUUGGUAGAGCACACGACUGAAAAUCGUGGUGUCCCCGGUUCAAGUCCGGGUCUCGCCA